rnacentral:lncRNA from 1 species
AGAUGAGGUCCUGCUUAUGCCCCAUUAAAAGAGAGCAGCAUUAUGCCUGGAUAAGGAUAUAGAAGAUGAAGCUGUGAACUGUGAUAGAGAUAUAAGCUGAACUUAAUGGGAUGCACAGUCAAAUUUACACAUAAAAUACAUGUACACAGAAGAUUUGAGGUGUUUCAGGUACUGAGUGUAUCAGCUUCCUCUCCUGAACUGAG